rnacentral:misc_RNA from 1 species
GGCCCCCUGCCGAUGUGCAGCCCGACCGCAUGUUGCAGCGGCCGCUUCAUUUUGGGCUCGCGUAUGCUCUUCGUUGGACGUUGCCUGUGCUGGGUACCCCGUUCAUCGGGUAAAUAUGUUGGGAUUUUGAAGUAUUGCUGGCCCUUGCCCUGGUUCGUCCCGCCGGGCAGGCCGCAUGAGCAGAGGGGCCAGUCGCGCCGCCGUUGCGUCGAGCCUGAGACACGGCCGGCGUCAAGGUUCGGCGACGAUGGCCCCCGCUCGGUGCUUCUGGGUGCGGUCGAUCGCUGCGUUCAUUGGGGUGCGCCCCUCUGUCGCUGACCAGAUGUGGUCUCCUUUCGGUUCCAUGACCUCGGCGCGGGGGCGGUGCCUCGGCUCCUCCCCGACGUCGUAGUCGGUGCUGUGCUACCUGGUUGAUCCUGCCAGUAGUCAUAUGCUUGUCUCAAAGAUUAAGCCAUGCAUGUGCAAGUAUGAACAAAUUCGGACUGUGAA